CUUUCUCAGACUAGCCAUGCACGUCUAAGUACAAACUAAAUGAUGGUGAAACUGCAAAAGGCUCAUUACAACGGUUAUGAUGUACCCGGGAGUUCCGAUGGAUAUUUCCAGUAACACUAGAACUAAUACAUCGUCCCUGCGUUUAUUAGUUUCGCACAGUCCGUCGCUGAGUCAUGGUAAACAGUUGAUCGACUCGACGUCCCGGAACAGUUUCCGCCCCAUCAGCUUCGAUGGUUGGGUAUUAGGCCUACCAUUGCAACAACGGGUAACGAGGAAUUAGGGUUUGAUUUCGGAGAGGGAGCCUGAGAAACGGCUACCACAUCUACGGAUGGGCAGCAGGCGCGCAAAUUACCCAAUGCAGACACUGUGAGGUAGUGACGAGAAAUAAUAAAGCGGGACUUCUGUUUCGCUAUUAUAAUGAGGAAUAACCAAAGGUCAUUCCGAUUAGCAACUGAUGGGAAAGUCUGGUGCCAGCAGCCGCGGUAAUACCAGCGUCAGUA
rnacentral:rRNA from 1 species